rnacentral:tRNA from 1 species
GCUUGGCUGGUUCAGUCAGUAGACCAUGUGGCUUUUGAUCUCAGAGUCAUGAGUUCAAGCCCCACGCUAAGCA